rnacentral:rRNA from 1 species
UAGGGAAUCUUCCGCAAUGGGCGAAAGCCUGACGGAGCAACGCCGCGUGAGUGAUGAAGGCCUUCGGAUCGUAAAACUCUGCUAUUAGGGAAGAACAAAUGUGUAAGUAACUAUGCACGUCUUGACGGUACCUAAUCAGAAAGCCACGGCUAACUACGUGCCAGCAGCCGCGGUAAUACGUAGGUGGCAAGCGUUAUCCGGAAUUAUUGGGCGUAAAGCGCGCGUAGGCGGUUUUUUAAGUCUGAUGUGAAAGCCCACGGCUCAACCGUGGAGGGUCAUUGGAAACUGGAAAACUUGAGUGCAGAAGAGGAAAGUGGAAUUCCAUGUGUAGCGGUGAAAUGCGCAGAGAUAUGGAGGAACACCAGUGGCGAAGGCGACUUUCUGGUCUGUAACUGACGCUGAUGUGCGAAAGCGUGGGGAUCAAACAGG